UACGUAGGAGGCAAGCGUUGUCCGGAAUUACUGGGCGUAAAGCGCGUGUAGGUGGUGGGACAAGUCUGCUGUGAAAGCGCCUGGCUUAACCGGGCGAGGUCGGCGGAAACUGUUUCACUGGAGGACGGUAGAGGGGGGUGGAAUUCCCGGUGUAGUGGUGAAAUGCGUAAAUAUACGAAGGAACGCCAAAAGCGAAGGCAGCUCUCUGGGUCCCUACCGACGCUGGGGUGCGAAAGCAUGGGGAGCGAACAGG
rnacentral:rRNA from 1 species